AUCACUCAAAGACUCUUUUUAAGGAUUUUAGUAGCUAAUUGAGAUGUCAUCCAGUGAGGGAUCCUGUAGCCCGGCAAACACUCCUGAUCAUGUUUGCCCGGGACCUACUUUUGUUGGUCAGAUUCUGCAUGACACGUCGGGCAGAGACCCGUAUUCUCCACCCUAUUCUCAAGGCUACUCUCCAGGCUAUACUCCAGCAUCCCCUGACUAUACUCCAGCAACCCCAGUCAGCCCAGUAAAUAUCUUUUGGUAACCUUAGUUUUGGUUGACUCUAGUCUGUUAGGUUGUGGAGGACCCGGAGUUUGUAAUGACAGCCCGUCGGGCAAACUCUUGUAGAUAUCUUUUGAUAUUAAUAUAUAUAUAUAUAUACCUAAAAUAUUAUAUUUUGA